AGGUAGAAAAAGAUCAUAGUAACAGAAAUGACACAAGUCAUGCAAAGAGAGGAGAGUAUACCACAAUAACAGGAACAAGGCUUAUCAGAAAACUAAAGGAUAGUAGGCAAAUAUUAUGUGAACAUGUGAACUAUACAAAAACAUAUCUAGAGCAGAAACUAGACCAAGAAACUCUAGCAGGACCUCGUACAGAAAAGUCACGAACACGUAUGAAGCAGUGACAGUAGCAUUAGCGCUAGCGUUGGUGUUGACGUCGCCCAUGUCGUCGAACAGGUUGAUGACAUCGGGGAAGAAGUCGUUGAGGGAGUCCAGGACUAAGGGGUCCUUGGGCCGCUUACCUUUUUCAAUAGGCGGGACUCCUGGGUCGUUCUAUCAUCAUUAUUAGGUUCCGGGGAAGUAAAGUGAGGGUGUAUUCAAGAUGGACUCUUCCAAAGAAUUGGCAUAUACUCCAUGGUCACGUGGUGAUCGGCAUGUUCCCUCCUUGGUGAGUAACCAACAUUGUGUAACCUAGAACUCUUGGUAUCUAUAUAAACUAGAGGGCUUUAGUUCAUAGGAUUGAUUAAAAAAAUUGGCCUUUACUUGCCUAGGCACCUCAUACAGGGCCAGGGUGAGCAUCUACAAACCGGAACACUAAAAUCGUCCGCGCAUACAGUCCGGCCCGAAAAGAAGAGAGAAGGAAAGAAGCCACCUAACCAGGCCCACAUUUUGUCUCUAUAUAACCAUGAUAUCCAAAAAUCCUCAUAUCCAUAUUAAAUAUGAAGACCAUACGUGGAUGUCUAGGCAGCCCUCCAUUUAUGAUGUCGCCCACCCCGAACCAUUUUUUCUCUUAUUCUUAUUCUUUUCAUAUUCUCUCACUUUCUCUUUGUACCUACCAACCAUGUGCAUUUGAUUAGACAAUUUAGGAAGGAAAUAGGGGACAUGGUUGCAUGUAUGCAUAAAAUAAACGUUUGAAAGGGACAUGACCUGUUGCCCGGACGUGACCGCGGCCAUUUUAGGCCUCAUUUUUUAUGUUCGCAGUUGUAGAUGCUCUUAUAGAGUUCGAACCGGAUCUUCUCAGACACGUAUGCCCUAUUAUGUUACCCAAAACAAUCCAUUUGACCAAUCUUUUAUAUGAUAUUGAUGACGAAGAAAUCUGCAGGGGCACAUAUUGUACGGAAGCACACUUGAUAGCAUUUUAGCACGAACUACAAGCAUGGAUAAUUAGUACGCUCAAGCGUUGCAACCAACAGUAAUGGUAUAGUACGUCGUCUUCGCCAAUAAAGCCAUUGUAACAGUGAUAGUAUUUGACGCAAUUAACAUAUGUAGCAGAAACUUUUGGCCACACAAAUUUUUUUCAACCGAAGAAAAACAUGAUUUUUCAUGCAGCUAGUCGCUGAGAAGCAUCUAUCGAUUUCACCGUGGGCGUACAAAAGAUUCUUCAGGUGGUCUCGCAUGGAUGGUUCUGUGGCGACAAUAUAGCGUUGACAUGAGGCGGAUGCAUUUCCUUAUAUGCAGAAUUGAUUGUCUAGAAAAUGGAAGUAUAUAUAUGCCUAAAAUGCUUUUGCUAAAACUGAUGUGAAUGGUAGACACAUAUAUGUGCACGCACCGCACACCACCAUCAUACUAGUAGUGGUUCUUAGCAGUGGAUAUCUAUCAACCGGUCAAGCCUGAAUGAUCCUCAUUGUUUGGACUUCGACGUGUGUGCAAAACACAAUUCGAGUGUGAGUUAAUCACGUUGUCCUGUAUACAUAGGAUUAGGAAAAAAGCCAAACCGUGUCCUAGUAGUAUAAGGAUACCUAGUCUUAGUCUAUUUUCAUAGUCCCUUGUGAAUGUGUAUAAAAGGCACCCUAGGGGUGGUGCUCGUAACACCAGAUAAUCUAGUAAAGCAAUACAAAGUAUUACGACAGACUCGACACGAGCCUGUGGCCAUCAACUAUUCAGUGCCUUCGCGUUUUUACGUUCUUGUUGAGAGAGCCGAGUUGAUCCGUUGCCGCAUGAUUGAUCCAAUCAACCGAAGCUAGCCGCCUGAAGC
rnacentral:lncRNA from 1 species